rnacentral:misc_RNA from 1 species
GAUGAAGAACGUAGCGAAAUGCGAUACGUAAUGUGAAUUGCAGAAUUCAGUGAAUCAUCGAGUCUUUGAACGCACAUUGCGCCCCCUGGUAUUCCGGGGGGCAUGCCUGUCCGAGCGUCAUUGCUGCCCUCAAGCACGGCUUGUGUGUUGGGCCUCCGUCCUCCUCCCGGGGGACGGGCCCGAAAGGCAGCGGCGGCACCGCGUCCGGUCCUCGAGCGUAUGGGGCUUCGUCACCCGCUCUUGUAGGCCCGGCCGGCGCCUGCCGACACAUCAAUCUUUUUUCCAGGUUGACCUCGGAUCAGGUAGGGAUACCCGCUGAACUUAAGCAUAUCAAUAAGCGGAGGA